UGGUGAAUCUUGCACAAUGGGGGCCACCCUGAUGCAGCCACGCCGCGUGAGCGAUGAAUUUUUUCGAAUCGUAAAUCUCUUUCCUAUGGGAAGAUAAUGACGGUACCAUAGUAGGAAGCCCCUGCUAACUACGUGCCAGCAGCCGCGGUAAUACGUAGGUGGCAAUCGUUCUCCGGAAUUAUUGGGCGUAAAGCGCGCGCAGGUGGUUUAGAAAGUCUGAUGUGAAAGCCCACGGCUGAACCGUGGAGGGUCAUUGGAAACUAAUAAACUUGAGUGCAGGAGAGAAAAGUGGAAUUCCUAGUGUAGCGAUGAAAUGCGUAGAGAUUAGGAGGAACACCGGUGGCGAAAGCGGCUUUUUGGCCUGCAACUGACACUGAGGCGCGAAAGCGUGGGGAGCAAACAGG
rnacentral:rRNA from 1 species